rnacentral:rRNA from 1 species
AAUUAAUUUAUUAUUAUCAUUUAAUGUGAUUUUCUUUUUUAAUAAAAUUAAUUUUAUAUUAUAAGUGUUUUAGUAUAUUUACAUGAAAAGAUUAUUUUAAUUAUAAUUUAUUGUAAAGUAAUUGAAUUAAUGGAUUUAUUUGAAAGCAAAUAUUUUAUUGUACCUUUUGUAUCAGGGUUUAUCAAAAUUAUUUUAUCUAUAGAUUUAUCUCGAUUUUAAUGGAUUUAUUUUAAGAUAUAUUUUAAUGUGGAAUUAUUAUUAAAAAUUUUAAGAUAGGAAUGAAAUGUUAUUCGUCAUUAAUUCUAUCUAGUUUCUUAAGACUGAAUUUAAUUCAAUCAAUAAUAUUAAUGUUUAAUUUUUUAUUUAUUUAUUGUUAUUGUUAAAUUAAUAAAAGGCUAAGCUUUUAUUAAUAUUUAAAAGGUUAUUUAGAUAUAAGUUAUGUUGAGGCUUUUAAUCAGCCAUUAUUUUAAAUUUCGUUUUAGAAUAUAAUUGAAUAAUUUUAUUUAUAGUUCCUUUGGAUCAAAAAUUAAGAUUAUUUUAUAAAUAUAGAAUAUUAUGAAAUAAUGAUUAAAUUAGUAUAAUUAUUUUAAUGUUUAUUAGUUGAAAUUAAUUUAAUAUAAGGAACUAGGCAAUAUUAAAUGUAAAUUCCCGCCUGUUUAACAAAAACAUGUCUUAUUUGAUUAUAAUUUUAAGUCGUUCCUGCCCACUGUAUAACAAUUAAAUGGCCGCGGUAUUUUGACCGUGCAAAGGUAGCAUAAUCAUUAGUCUUUUAAUUAAGGACUUGAAUGAAUGGAUUGACGAGGAAUUAACUGUCUCAUAUUAAUAAAUAGAAUUUGACUUAUUAAUUAAAAGGUUAAUAUAAAGUUUAAGGACGAGAAGACCCUAUAGAGCUUUAAUAUAUUUAAAAUUUAUCCAUAAAAUUUUAUGGAUAAAUUUAAGGAUAUUUUUGUUGGGGUGACAGAGAUAAUAUUUAAUCUUUCUUUAUAAAAUUUCAUAUUUUUAUGUAAAUUUUGAUCCAUAAUUUAUGAUUAUAAGAUUAAGUUACCUUAGGGAUAACAGCGUAAUGAAUCUUGAGAGUCCUUAUUGAUAGAUAAGUUUACGACCUCGAUGUUGGAUUAAGACAAAAUUAUGGUGCAUAAGCUUUAUAUUUAGGUCUGUUCGACCUUUAAUUUCUUACAUGAUCUGAGUUCAGACCGGUGCAAGCCAGGUCGGUUUCUAUCCUAAAUUUUGGUUAAUGUGUUAGUACGAAAGGACCAUACAUUAUAGACAUUCUAUUUAUAAUUAGAAUUAUAUUAAUC